GCACAAUUGGAAUUUUGCAAUUUAUAUAGAAUUCUUCUUUCACACUUAUCUACCAUCUUGUCCUGCGAAGUGCUAACUGAGUUUAGAUUGUGGCAUGUAACUUUAAGUUGAAAAGUUUACCAUAGAAAGCAAGUCCACCAUACUACUUCACAUGAUAAUUAUAUUACAGGUAAUAAUCACUACAUAAGCUACAUUAUUAUAGGUUAAUAGAAUUACCAGCAACGUGACAUAUAUAACUUGAUCAAAACAGAAAAAUUUAAAGUAGAACAUGUGGAACCAGAAUGUCAACAUGACCUAGUAAGCUGGACCAAUUCAUUUU
rnacentral:lncRNA from 1 species